GACAGAGGUGCCAAGCGUUAGGCGGAAUCACUGGGCUUAAAGCGUGUGUAGGCGGGCCGGCAAGUACCUUGUGAAAUCCCACGGCUCAACCGUGGAACGGCUGGGUAUACUGCCUGUCUUGAGCCAGCUAGGGGCGACCGGAACAGACGGUGGAGCGGUGAAAUGCGUAGAUAUCGUCUGGAACGCCAAAGGUGAAAACAGGUCGCUGGGGCUGAGCUGACGCUGAGACACGAAAGCCAGGGGAGCGAACGGG
rnacentral:rRNA from 1 species